rnacentral:rRNA from 1 species
UAGGGAAUCUUCCGCAAUGGACGCAAGUCUGAUGGAGCAACGCCGCGUGAGUGAAGAAGGAUUUCGGUUCGUAAAACUCUGUUGUUAGAGAAGAACAGCGCAUAGAGUAACUGUUAUGCGUGUGACGGUAUCUAACCAGAAAGCCACGGCUAACUACGUGCCAGCAGCCGCGGUAAUACGUAGGUCCCGAGCGUUGUCCGGAUUUAUUGGGCGUAAAGCGAGCGCAGGCGGUUAGAUAAGUCUGAAGUUAAAGGCAGUGGCUCAACCAUUGUAGGCUUUGGAAACUGUUUAACUUGAGUGCAGAAGGGGAGAGUGGAAUUCCAUGUGUAGCGGUGAAAUGCGUAGAUAUAUGGAGGAACACCGGUGGCGAAAGCGGCUCUCUGGUCUGUAACUGACGCUGAGGCUCGAAAGCGUGGGGAGCGAACAGG